rnacentral:rRNA from 1 species
GACGAACGCUGGCGGCGCGCUUAACACAUGCAAGUCGAACGGACAGGCCUGCUUUCCCUUGUUGAUUGCGGGUACUCGAGUGGCGAACUGGUGCGUAACACGCGAAUCAUCUGCCCCCAACUUGGGUCUAAUCCUGGGAACCUGUGUCUAAUUCUCGAUAGAACUGCAGGGUUGUUCCUUUGGUGGAAAACGUUUUUCUAGUUGUUGGUGAUUCGCUCGCGGCCUAUCUGCUUGUUUGUGUGGUAAUGUCCUACCAAGUCGGCGACGGGUAGCCGGCGUGAGAGCGUGGACGGCCACAUUGAGACGGGGAUAAGGCCCAGACGCGUACGGGAGGUAGCAGAGGGGAAUAAUGCACAAGGGGCGGAAGGCAGAUGCAGCGAGGGAGCGUGGGGGAUGACGGCAUUCGGGUUGUAAACUCCUUGCGAACGAGAGGAAGGCAACUGGUUGGAAGGGUGGUGACGGUAGUGGUAGAAGAAGCACCGGCUAACUACGUG